GAUUAACGCUGGCGGCGUGCCUAACACAUGCAAGUCGAACGAGGUAGCAAUACCUAGUGGCAGACGGGUGAGUAACGCGUGGUCAACCUACCGUUGAGUGGGGGAUAACUAGCCGAAAGGUUAGCUAAUACCGCAUACGUCUCCGAGGGGCAUCCCUUGGCGAUAAAAGGAGCAAUCCGCUCGAUGACGGGACCGCGUCCCAUUAGCUAGAUGGUGGGGUAACGGCCUACCAUGGCACCGAUGGGUAGCUGGUUUGAGAGAGCGACCAGCCACACUGGGACUGAGAAACGGCCCAGACUCCUACGGGAGGCAGCAGUGAGGAAUUUUCCGCAAUGGGCGCAAGCCUGACGGAGCGACGCCGCGUGUGGGAAGAAGGCCUC
rnacentral:rRNA from 1 species